rnacentral:rRNA from 1 species
UGGUGGAGUGAUUUGUCUGCUUAAUUGCGAUAACGAACGAGACCUUAACCUGCUAACUAGUCCGUAUUACCUCGGUAGUACGCCGACUUCUUAGAGGGACUAUCGGCUCAAGCCGAUGGAAGUUUGAGGCAAUAACA